ensembl:lncRNA
GGGCGAUUCUACAGUUUGACAAAAGAUCUGGCGUCUGAAUUCAGGUUGUAAUGGGAAUGAAGGUUACUGAGGUUUAUAGAUAUUAAAUAUAUACUGCUACAUCAGUUUAUUGGGUACACCUGCGAAGACACCUACAAGCAUUGACUGUUUUAGUCAUGCAAUUACUAACUGUAGCACCAUCUACCUCAUUCUGCAGUGGAAUGGGAUGAACAAAGGACCAUCCUCUAUAUUUACUUAUUCCAAACCAGUGUCAGUGCUUUGACAAUAAUGAUAAUGACUCAGCAAAUGCUGAAAUAUAUUUAACAAAUUGAUUCAAAUGUCAGUAUAACUGUCCUCAUAUUAUUUUUCCUCUGACUGCAGAACAUUGAUGAGACUCAGCCAGGUAGAUUUUAUAAGUCGAAGAGAUUGUAAAGAAGAAGAAAUGAAGAGAACCUUCUUUUCACAGGCGUUUAAAUUUAAGCUGUUUCACCUGUAAAGACUGCACAUGUUGUUAAAAAGGAUAAACCACCAUGAAGACCAGAGAGCUGUCUAUGGGAGAAAAGCAAGAAAUUCUGAAUCUGAGAAAAGAGGGCAAAUUGAUCAGAGGUUGGCCAAGGAAAACAACAGCAGUUGAUGACAGAAACAUUGUGAGAGCUGUGAAGAAAAUCCCAAAGACAACAGUCAGUGACAUCACCAACAACCUUAACAGGGCAGGGGUAAAGUAUCACAAUCCACUGUUCAAAGAAGACUUCGAGAUCAGAAAUAUAGUCACAAGAUUUAAACCACUCAUCAGCAGUAAGAAUUGUAAGGCCAGAUUUGAUUUCACAAUAAAAUUACAAACUACGAAAUUAUGAAAUCUACGAAAGUGAUGGAAAGGCUAACAUAUGGCGAAAGAAAGGAUGCACUCAUGAUUCAAAAACUUUGAGCUCAUUGGUCACACAUGGUGGAGGUAGUGUCAUGGCUUGGGCUUGCAUGCCUGCUUCUGGAAUCUGCUCACUGAUCUUUAUUCAUGAUGUAACUCCAAUGGUAGCAGCAGAAUGAAUUCAGAAGUCUACAGAAACAUUCUGUCUGCCAAUUUACUGAGCAAUUCAUUCACUUUCAUUGGGAGGAACUUCGUCAUGCAGCAAGACAAUGACCUGAACACUCUGCCAACACAACGAAGGACUUCAUCAGGGGGGAAAGUGGAAGGUUUUAGACUAGCUAAGUCAAUCACUAGACCGUAACCCCGUUGAGCAUGCAUUUCAUCUCCUGAAGAGGAGAGAAGGGUGAAACCGCCCAAAACAAACAACAACUCAAAGAAGCUGCCGUACAAGCAUAUAAAAGCAAGUGAUAUGCAACCAAAUCUUAAAUUGUAAAUAAAAGCAAAGUGUUAUUUGCUUUUAUUUACUUCAAUGCUGUCAAUGCCAUGUUCUAAGUUA